GCCGCCACUGGAGCCGUGUCCUGGGCUUCCGGGGCGGAAACUGGGGCCCCGUGUCCCGUGCGGGCCUCCGUCCUCGGGCGAGCAGGGCCCUUCGCUCCGGGAGGGGAGGUGACGCGGCGCGGGCUGGACGGCCGGAGACGCGGGGUCAGGGCGCGGACGAGGGGAGCGCAGGGUCGGAGGGGCUCCCGGACGCUGCCCGCCCAGCGUCGGCUCUCGUUGGCCCCUGGCUGCGCGCAGCGGGCCCGACUCUCAGGGCCCUGCGGUGCCCGCUGCCAGCGUGAGGGCUCCGGUCACGCGGCGCGCGAGACGAACGAGCGAGAUGCUUCCCGAAGCGCGGGGCCCAGUGCAGGGGCUCAGCCGGGGCUCCUCCCAAAGCUCACCUGGAGCCCAGCACGACUGCGUUCUGGAAACGCUGUGUUUGACAGCAGGGGCAGGAUGGGGGGCUGUGUAGACGCUGGCCACGUGGCAAUUGUAGGAGAACCAUGGGAUCGAUAAAUGUUCACUGUUGUCCCUGAAGCGCAAAACUGCAGGGCUCUGGAAAGUCCGUGUGUGUGUUUUUGUUGUUUUUGUUUGUUUGAGACAGAGUCUCGCUCUGUCACCCAGGCUGGAGUGCGGUGGCGCGAUCUCUGCUCACUGCAACCUCCGCCUCCCGGGUUCAAGCGAUUCUCCUGCCUCAGCCUCCCGAGUAGCUGGGACUGCAGGCGGCCGCCACGACGCCCGGCUAAUUUUUUGUAUUUUUAGUAGAGACGGGGUUUCACCGUGUUAGCCAGGAUGGUCUUGAUCUGACCUCGUGAUCUGCCCGCCUCGGCCUCCCAGAGUGCUGGGAUUACAGGCGUGAGCCACCGCGCCUGGCCGAAAAGUCCGUUUUAAAAGAUGAUGUAUACAAAUUAUAGCACGGAGAGGGAACGGGCAAGUUGUUUCCUCUUUCCAUGCCUCCAACUCCUCUGAAAUGUGGGUCAUGAUGAUAAUAGGAAAAACUGUCUCUGCCAUAGAGAGGUGGAAAAAGUCCCGCGAAGUGUCCCCGGUAUCUAGAAAGCGCUCAGUAGUGUUUGCUGUUAUCUUAGGGAUAUCAGGCUGCCUGGACAUUUCUCAGAGGAUGAAGGGGAUUGUAGGAAGGAAGACCACCUUCCCGGGGCUGGGCAAGGCUGCGGUACUGUCUCUCAUCAGGUCCAGGAGGACUCAGCAGGCUGAUGCAGAGGGACACAGCGCAUCCGCCUUGGUGGAUGCAUGGCUUUCCUGGCUCCCCUGGGACGGGGGAGGAGGGUGAAGAUGGAGGGAAUCUGGCUGGCUGGGCCUUGUGUACUGGGGGGUGGAGGGCCCAUUUGACUGCAGGAAUUGCUCAAGCACAUAAGCACCUUGAAGUGUGUUACUAAGAUACAAGAAACAGGUUUGCUUUUGCCUAUUCCAGCAUGGUGUACCUCUCUUAGGAUACCUUUUAGCACAGGUAGCAGAAUACCAGCCAGCCUCCUGUGGCUCACAGCAUUAAGAUAUUUAAUCAUCUGACAUUACAUGAAGUCCAGUGUUAGGCAGGCAGGAGCUGCUCCCGUGACUCAGUGACAUCAGGUUGGUCCACAUCCUAGCAGUUCUCUUGGUGUUCCUGCGUGAUCAAAGGAUGACUGCCACACCCCAGCCUGCUGACCUCAGCCCUGGCGUGGGCAUAGGAGGGUCUGCGUGGCUGAGCAUCCAGUGUCCUUCGUACUGCCACUGACAGCCUCAGGCCUGAUUUCCAGCACUGUCUGUCCAGGAGCAAUGGGAGCAAGAGUCACUCCACGAGACUCUGGAGGCCUGAUAGACAAAAUACAUGAAGACCAGUUUCUACACAGAGAAUCACUAAAAGAUGGCCAGGCGCGGUGGCUCACGCCUGUAAUCCCAGCACUUUGGGAGACCGAGGCGGGCGGAUCACAAGGUCAGCAGAUCGAGACCAUCCUGGCUAACAUGGUGAAACCCCAUCUCUACUAAAAAUACAAAAAAUUAGCCCGGCGUGGUGGCGGGCGCCUGUAGUCCCAGCUUUUCGGGAGGCUGAGGCAGGAGAAUGGCAUGAACCUGGGAGGCAGAGCUUGCAGUGAGCCAAGAUCACACCACUGCACUCCAGCCUGGGCGACAGAGCGAGACUCCAUCUCAAAAAAAAAAGAAUCAGUAAAAGAUAUAAAGGAGAAAAGGACAGAACCACAAAUAGGCAACAAAUAUGUUAAAAAAAAGUUUAGCUUCACUUAAAAUGAAAUAAAUGUGAUUAAAAUAUUUAAGGUUGGCUUUUUCCCCCCUCUAAUGAGUUAGCGAAGGUUAAACAUUUAAAAAGCCUGAUGAAAUCUAGGGUUGGCAGAAGUAUGGAAAGCAACCAGUGGCCAUGCUGGUUGGUAUAACCUUCCCUUUGGGCAAUUCAUUUAUAAGUAUCAGCACUUAAAAUGUGCAAUACUCGGCCAGGCAUGGUGGCUCACACUGUAAUUCUAGCACUUUGGGAGGCCGAGGCGAGUGGAUGAUGAGGUCAGGAGUUCGAGACCAGCCUGGCCAACAUAGUGAAAACCGGUCUCUACUAAAAAUACAAAAAAAAUUGGUAGGGCUUGGUGGCGGGCGCCUGUAGUCCCAGCUACUUGGGAGGCUGAGGCAGGAGAAUCGCUUGAACCCAGGAGGAGGAGAUUGCAGUGAGCCGAGAUUGCGCCACCGCACUCCAGCCUUGCGACAGAGCAAGACUCCGUCUCAAAAAAAAAGGACUGGUAAGACAAUGUGGUAUUCUUGCUCCUCCUCCCACUGUUAGUUGUGGGUAUAAUGUUUCUCCCAUUCAACCUGGGUCGGCCCCAGUGACUUGCUUGACCAAUAGAAUGUAGUGAGGUGAUGUCUUAGGGCUACCAAAGUGAGGUCACAAGAGCCGGUGGCUUCCACCCCAGCCUCCUGGGACUCUGUGAGACCCGCUGCUACUGAGACUGCUGUGCUGGAGAGGCCACAUGUGGGUGUUCUGGCCCACGGUGCCAGCUGACAUCAGCCUUCCAGCCACCCCAGUGAUCUCUUUUCUGUCACACUGGACAGGACAGUCACCUGGUGGAGCUGCUGAAAUUCCUGGCACGCUGUCACAUAUAACAAAAUAGUUCUUGGCGGCACGGUGGCUCACGCCUGUAAUCCCAGCACUUUGGGAGGCCAAGGUGGGUGGAUCACAAGGUCAGGAGUUCAAGACCAGCUUGGCCAAUUUGGUGAAAGCCCAUCUCUACUAAAAAUACAAAAAUUAGCUAGGCAUGAUGGCACGCGCCUGUAGUCCCACCUACUCAGGAGGCUGAGGCAGCAGAAUUGCUUGAACCCAGGAGGUGGAGGUUGCAGUGAGCUGAGAUCGCGCCACCACACUCCAGCCUGGGUGACAGAGCAAGAUUCCGUCUAAAAAAAAAUGGUUCUUUUAAACCACUAAGUUUUCAGGGGUCUGUAAGGCGGUGAUACAUAAUGGGAACAGAUACUUGCAGUUCUAUGUAUAGCCAUGUUCAUUACAGCAUGAUUUAUGAUACUGAAAUAUUGGGAACAUCUGUAAAGAGUUUGUUAAAGUCUGAUACACCACUACAAUGAAAUAGAUCUAGUCAGUGGGACAAAGCAGGGUGAGUAAAGCAGGGCCAGAUGCUCACAAGGAGUAUUCAGCUAAAAAUGUAAGACAGGCUGGGUGCGGCAGCUUAUACCUAUAGUCCCAGCAUUUGCGGAGGCCAAGGCAAGAAGAUUGCUUGAGCCCAGGAGGUCAAGCUGCAGUGAACUGUGAUCACACCACUGUCCUCCAGCCUGGGCGACAAUGUGAGAUCCUGUCUCAAAAAACAAAACAGGCUGGGCUCGGUGUCUCAUGCCUGUAAUCCCACCACUUUGGAAGGCCGAGGCGGGCAGAUCACGAGGUGAGGAGUUCGAGACCAGCCUGGCCAACAUAGUGAAACCCCGUGUCUACUAAAAAUACAAAAAAUUAGCCGGGUGUGGUGGUGGGUGCCUGUAAUCCUAGCUACUCGGGAGGCCAAGGCCGGAGAAUCGCUUGAACCUGGGAGGUGGAGGUUGCAACAAGCCGGGAUCUCGCCACUGCACUCCAGCCGGGGUGACAGUGCAAGACUCCAUCUCAAAAACAAAAACAAAAACAAAAACCCCCCAAAACAAAAAACAAAACAGAAUGAAAAGUAGUAGAAAAAUGGUGAGUCAGUAAAAGAACAACCCCAUGAAAAAAUGGGCAAAAGUGCUGGGUGCGGUGGCUCAUGUCUGUAAUCCCAGCACUUGGGGAGGCUGAGGCUGGAGGAGUGCUUGAACCCAGGAGUUGGAGACCAGCCUGGGCAACAUAGAUACCCCAACUCUACAGAAAAAAAAUUAAAAAUUAGCCAGGUGUCAUGGUGUGUGCUUGUAGUCCCAGAUAUUGAGGGCUGAGGCAACAGGUCCUUUGAACCCAGGAGGUCGAGGCUGCAUGAGCCAUGAUUGUGCCACUGCACUUCAGCCUGGGUGACAGAGCAAGACCCUGACUCUAAAAAUAAUAAUAACCAAGGCUGGGUGUGGUGGCUUAUGCCUCUCAUCCCAGCACUUUGGGAGGCCGAGGCGGGCAGAUCACAAGGUCAAGAGAUAGAGACCAUCCUGGCCAAUGUGGCGAAACCUUGUCUCUACUAAAAAUACAAAAAUUAGCUGGGCAUGGUGGCAGGCACCUGUAAUCCCAGCUGCUUGGGAGGAAGAGGCAGGAGAAUCGCUUUAACCCAGGAGGCGGAGGUUGCAGUGAGCCGAGAUUGCGCCACGGCACUCCAGCUUGGGUGACAGAGAGACAGACUCCGUUUCAAAAUAAUAAUAAUAAUAUAAUAAUCAAAAAUUGGAAGUAACCAAGAUGCUCUUUAAUAAGUACAUGGGUGGCCAGGGGCUGUGGCUCAUGCCUGUAAUCCUAGCACUUUGGGAGGCCGGGGCAGGCGGAACACAAGGCCAGGAGAUCAAGA
rnacentral:lncRNA from 1 species